rnacentral:rRNA from 1 species
GAGAAUUUAGCAGAGAUGCUUUAGUGCCUUCGGGAACUCUGAGACAGGUGCUGCAUGGCUGUCGUCAGCUCGUGUUGUGAAAUGUUGGGUUAAGUCCCGNAACGAGCGCAACCCUUAUCCUUUGUUGCCAGCACGUAAUGGUGGGAACUCAAAGGAGACUGCCGGUGAUAAACCGGAGGAAGGUGGGGAUGACGUCAAGUCAUCAUGGCCCUUACGAGUAGGGCUACACACGUGCUACAAUGGCGCAUACAAAGAGAAGCGACCUCGCGAGAGCAAGCGGACCUCAUAAAGUGCGUCGUAGUCCGGAUUGGAGUCUGCAACUCGACUCCAUGAAGUCGGAAUCGCUAGUAAUCGUAAAUCAGAAUGUUACGGUGAAUACGUUCCCGGGCCUUGUACACACCGCCCGUCACACCAUGGGAGUGGGUUGCAAAAGAAGUAGAUAGCUUAACCUUCGGGAGGGCGUUUACCACUUUGUGAUUCAUGACUGGGGCGAAGUCGUAACAAGGUAAGCGUAGUGCU